rnacentral:rRNA from 1 species
UUAAGAAUUUUCUUGAUUUAUUUGUAUUAUAUUUAAAUAUUUUUUUGUUUUAGUAUUAAAAUUGAAUAAAUUAUUAUUAAAAACUGAAUAGGAUUUAAUUUUUAAUUAAAGAAUUACUUUUUAGUACCUUUUGUAUCAGGGUAUUUUUAUUAUGUAAAAUAUUUUUUUUCCCGAAUUGGAAUGAUUUAUUUUAUUAUUAUUUGAACUGUUUCAUAAUUUUUUUUAAUAAUAAUUUAGUAAUUAAAAGUUAUUCGUUUUCCAUUUUAUCUGGUUUUUUAGGAGCUCAAUUAAAUUGAGAGUGAUUUAAUGUUAAAAAAUUGUUUUUUAUCACUUUAUAUUAUUAGGGAUAAUCUUAAUAAUGUUUUAUAAUUUAAAUUUACUUAAUUUUUAUUAUGAUUUAAAUCUUUUAUUUAGUUCUUAAUUGAUUGUAAUUUAUUUAUUAGGAUUUUUUAUUUUAUUUAUUUUUUUACUAAAAUUUAAGUUUUAACCUUAAUUUUUUAUUAAUAAUGAUUUAAUUAGUAUAAUUUAGAUAAUUUAAUUUAUGAACUCGACAAAUGUAUUUUCCAACUGUUUAUCAAAAACAUUUCUUUUAGGAUUAUAUUUUAAAAGUAUUUCCUGCCCUAUGAUUAAUUUUAAAUGGCUGCAGUAUUCUGACUGUGCAAAGGUAGCAUAAUAAUUAGUUUUUUAAUUGGGAACUAGUAUGAAUGGAUUAAUGUGAUAUUUAUUUUAUUAUUUUUUAAAUUAAAAUUUAAUUUUUUAGUAAAAAAGCUUAUUUGUUUUUUUGGGACGAGAAGACCCUAUAGAACUUUAUUUUUUAUAAAAAUAAUAUUUUUUAGUUUAUUAAAUUUUUUAUUAUAUAAAAUAUUUUGUUGGGGUGACAAAUAAAUAUUGAACUUUAUUUAAUUUUUUCAAAUAUGUUUGAUUUUUAGAUCCUAUUUUGUAGAUUGUAAGAUUAAGUUACCUUAGGGAUAACAGCGUAAUUUUAAUGGGGAGUUCUGAUUUAUAUUAAAGUUUGCGACCUCGAUGUUGAAUUAAGAAAAAAUUAUGGGGCAGGUUCUUUAAUUUUUAGUCUGUUCGACUAUUAUAUUCUUACAUGAUUUGAGUUCAAACCGGUGUGAGCCAGGUUGGUUUCUAUCUAAUAAUAAUUAUUCUUUUUUAGUACGAAAGGACCAAGAAGGGCAAUUAUUUAUUGUUUUUAGUUCUGAAUGUAAGUAAUG